rnacentral:rRNA from 1 species
AGCGGCGGACGGGUGAGUAACGCGUGGGUAACCUGCCUCAUACAGGGGGAUAACAGUUGGAAACGGCUGCUAAUACCGCAUAAGCGCACAGUACCGCAUGGUACGGUGUGAAAAACUCCGGUGGUAUGAGAUGGACCCGCGUCUGAUUAGGUAGUUGGUGGGGUAACGGCCUACCAAGCCGACGAUCAGUAGCCGACCUGAGAGGGUGACCGGCCACAUUGGGACUGAGAUACGGCCCAG